UACGUAGGGGCCAAGCGUUGUCCGGAUUUAUUGGGCGUAAAGAGCUCGUAGGCGGUUCGGCAAGUCAGCUGUGAAAACCCGGAGCUCAACUCCGGGCCUGCAGUCGAUACGGGCAAACUGGAGUGUUGCAGGGGAGACUGGAAUUCCUGGUGUAGCGGUGAAAUGCGCAGAUAUCAGGAGGAACACCGGUGGCGAAGGCGGGUCUCUGGGCCUUACCUGACGCUGAGGAGCGAAAGCGCGGGGAGCGAACAGG
rnacentral:rRNA from 1 species